rnacentral:rRNA from 1 species
UACAGAGGGUGCUAGCGUUGUUCGGAAUCAUUGGGCGUAAAGGGCGUGUAGGCGGUUUGUAAGUCAGAUGUGAAAUCCCCGGGCUUAACCUGGGAACUGCGUUUGAAACUACAAGGCUAGAGUGUGGCAGAGGGGGGUGGAAUUCCACGUGUAGCAGGUGGAAAUGCGUAGAGAUGUGGAGGAACACCGAUGGCGAAGGCAGCCCCCUGGGUUAACACUGACGGCUCAGGCACGAAAGCGUGGGGAGCAACAGG